UUUUAUUCUCGCUCAGGACGAACGCUGGCGGCGUGCCUAAUACAUGCAAGUCGAACGAACUCUGGUAUUGAUUGGUGCUUGCAUCAUGAUUUACAUUUGAGUGAGUGGCGAACUGGUGAGUAACACGUGGGAAACCUGCCCAGAAGCGGGGGAUAACACCUGGAAACAGAUGCUAAUACCGCAUAACAACUUGGACCGCAUGGUCCGAGUUUGAAAGAUGGCUUCGGCUAUCACUUUUGGAUGGUCCCGCGGCGUAUUAGCUAGAUGGUGGGGUAACGGCUCACCAUGGCAAUGAUACGUAGCCGACCUGAGAGGGUAAUCGGCCACAUUGGGACUGAGACACGGCCCAAACUCCUACGGGAGGCAGCAGUAGGGAAUCUUCCACAAUGGACGAAAGUCUGAUGGAGCAACGCCGCGUGAGUGAAGAAGGGUUUCGGCUCGUAAAACUCUGUUGUUAAAGAAGAACAUAUCUGAGAGUAACUGUUCAGGUAUUGACGGUAUUUAACCAGAAAGCCACGGCUAACUACGUGCCAGCAGCCGCGGUAAUACGUAGGUGGCAAGCGUUGUCCGGAUUUAUUGGGCGUAAAGCGAGCGCAGGCGGUUUUUUAAGUCUGAUGUGAAAGCCUUCGGCUCAACCGAAGAAGUGCAUCGGAAACUGGGAAACUUGAGUGCAGAAGAGGACAGUGGAACUCCAUGUGUAGCGGUGAAAUGCGUAGAUAUAUGGAAGAACACCAGUGGCGAAGGCGGCUGUCUGGUCUGUAACUGACGCUGAGGCUCGAAAGUAUGGGUAGCAAACAGGAUUAGAUACCCUGGUAGUCCAUACCGUAAACGAUGAAUGCUAAGUGUUGGAGGGUUUCCGCCCUUCAGUGCUGCAGCUAACGCAUUAAGCAUCCG
rnacentral:rRNA from 1 species